AAGGGAGGAAGUGUGCAUCUAACUGAAACAGGACAUCCACUGUGUGGCUUUGGCUGGCCAGGAACUCAAGGUGAUCCUCCUCUUCUACCCCUGGAGUGCUCUGGGACUAAAGGCAUGAGUUUCCGGACUGGCCUGUGAGAGGCUGCUGAACAUUCCACGGCCACCCUGGAGAAGGGUAUGAAGGGGAAGGGAGUGUGCAGACCUGCACUGAGAAGCACAUUCCGGGCUGUGGGGUGCCAGGUGAUGAUGCCCACACGCUUGGUGUGCCCCUCAAGCACUACUACUG